UGAACGCUGGCGGCGUGCCUAACACAUGCAAGUCGAGCGAUGAGGCUCCCUUCGGGGGGUACAUCGGCGGCGAACGGGUGAGUAACACGUGGGUGACCUUCCCCAAAGACGGGGAUAACUCUUGGAAACAGGGGCUAAUACCCGAUGUGCUCAGCAGUUCACUCUGUCGAGUAAAGCUAUGGCGCUUUGGGAUGGGCCCGCUGUCCACCAGCUAGUUGGUAGGGUAAAGGCCUACCACGGCUAAGACGGGUAGGGGGCGUGAGAGCGCGAUCCCCCACACUGGCACUGAGACACGGGCCAGACUCCUACGGGAGGCAGCCGUGAGGAAUAUAGCGCAAUGGACGAAAGUCUGACGCAACGACGCCGCGUGGGCUGAUGAAAGCCUUCCGUGUCGUAAAGCCCUUUUCUGGGGGAAGAGACAGGACGGUACCCCAGGAAUAAGCCCCGGCUAACUACGUGCCAUCAGCCGCGGUAAAACGUAAGGGGCAAGCCGUUAUCCGGAUUUACUGGGCGUAAAGAGCGUUGACGCGGUUCUGUCAGUUGGGCGGGAAAGCUAUGGGCUUAACUCAGGCAAGCCGACCAAUAGAGCGAGACUUGAGGGCAGCACGAGAGAGGUGGAAUUCCCGGAGUAGCGGUGAAAUGCGUAGAUCUCGGGCGGAACACCAGUGGCGAAGCGCGGGCUCCUGGGCUGCUCCUGACGCUCACUGCGAAAGCUAGGGGAACGAACGGGAUCAGAAACCCCGGUAGUCCUAGCCGUAGACGAUGGAUGCUAGGUCUGGGGGUUGUAGAUUCCGUCCGUGCCGCAGUUAACGCGUUAAGCAUCCCGCCUGGGGAGUACGGCCGCAAGGCUAAAACUCAAACGAAUUGACGGGGGCCCGCACAAGCAGCGGAGCGUGUGGUUUAAUUCGAUGCUACACGAAGAACCUUACCUGGGCUUGACAUACAGGUAGUAGUGAAGUGAAAACGGAUCGAUCCUUCGGGGAGCCUGAACAGGUGCUGCAUGGCUGUCGUCAGCUCGUGCCGUGAGGUGUCGGGUUAAGUCCCGUAACGAGCGCAACCCUUGCUCUUAGUUAUACGGGUCUAAGAGGACUGCCGGCGGUCAGCCGGAGGAAGGUGGGGAUGACGUCAAGUCAGCA
rnacentral:rRNA from 1 species